rnacentral:rRNA from 1 species
AAUGAACGCUGGCGGCAUGCCCAACACAUGCAAGUCGAACGAAGGCUUCGGCCUUAGUGGCGCACGGGUGCGUAACGCGUGGGAAUCUGCCCUUGGGUUCGGAAUAACAGUUAGAAAUGACUGCUAAUACCGGAUGAUGUCGUAAGACCAAAGAUUUAUCGCCCAAGGAUGAGCCCGCGUAGGAUUAGCUAGUUGGUGGGGUAAAGGCCUACCAAGGCGACGAUCCUUAGCUGGUCUGAGAGGAUGAUCAGCCACACUGGGACUGAGACACGGCCCAGACUCCUACGGGAGGCAGCAGUGGGGAAUAUUGGACAAUGGGCGAAAGCCUGAUCCAGCAAUGCCGCGUGAGUGAUGAAGGCCUUAGGGUUGUAAAGCUCUUUUACCCGGGAUGAUAAUGACAGUACCGGGAGAAUAAGCUCCGGCUAACUUCGUG